rnacentral:rRNA from 1 species
GACGAACGCUGGCGGCGUGCCUAAUACAUGCAAGUAGAACGAGUUGCGAACGGGUGAGUAACGCGUGGUAACCUGCCUCAUAGCGGGGGAUAACUAUUGGAAACGAUAGCUAAUACCGCAUACCAUCAGAUGUGCCCAGAUGGGAUUAGCUAGUAGGUGGGGUAACGGCUCACCUAGGCGACGAUCCCUAGCUGGUCUGAGAGGAUGACCAGCCAAACGGGAACUGAGACAGGGUCCAGACUCCGACGGGAGGCAGCAGGGGGGAAUAUUGCAAAAUGGGCGCAAGCCUGAUGCAGCCAUGCCGCGUGUAUGAAGAAGGCCUGCGGGUUGUAAAGUACUUUCAGCGGGGAGGCGUUACCCGCAGAAGAAGCACCGGCUAACUCCGUGCCAGCAGCCGCGGUAUAC